GACAGAGGGUGCAAACGUUGUUCGGAUUUACUGGGCGUAAAGCGCGUGUAGGCGGCUUGGCAAGUCGGAUGUGAAAGCCCACGGCUCAACCGUGGAAGCGCAUCCGAAACGGCCUCGCUCGAGUCUCGGAGAGGAAGGUGGAAUGCUUGGGUGUAGAGGUGAAAUUCGUAGAUAUCAAGCAGAACACCUGCGGCGAAGGCGGCCUUCUGGACGAUGACUGACGCUGAGACGCGAAAGCGUGGGGAGCGAACAGG
rnacentral:rRNA from 1 species